UACGAAGGGGGCUAGCGUUGCUCGGAAUCACUGGGCGUAAAGCGCACGUAGGCGGAUUGUUAAGUCAGGGGUGAAAUCCUGGAGCUCAACUCCAGAACUGCCUUUGAUACUGACGAUCUCGAGUCCGGGAGAGGUGAGUGGAACUGCGAGUGUAGAGGUGAAAUUCGUAGAUAUUCGCAAGAACACCAGUGGCGAAGGCGGCUCACUGGUCCGGUACUGACGCUGAGGUGCGAAAGCGUGGGGAGCAAACGGG
rnacentral:rRNA from 1 species